ACAGGUUCAUCAUACAUCUUUAACUUGCGAAGCACAUGUGCUUUUGUCUUGCCGAAAAUUCUUUAUAAUUUCAUUAAUUCCUGGGAAAUGUUGCUGUCCGAAUAGCCAGAAAUAUAAAGUUAAAGAAAAAGAUUGAGCUACUAAUUCGUUAUAAUUUUGAUAUGGUAAUUUGGGCUGCGCUGUAUAUAUUAUUAUAAAAAUAUAGUACGUAAUCGGCUGAGCAUGCGUAGAAGAUGUAUGGAAAAUGUGCUAGGCGUAUUAGUUUGGCACACAUUUCUAAGAAUUGUAUCGCUGUAAUAGUGAAUGUUUUAAUAGAAAAAUAUAAACAAAUUAA